rnacentral:hammerhead_ribozyme from 1 species
AUCGAGCUGAGGCGUUUCAAAUAGGACGAAACGCGCAUCCUUGAU